rnacentral:rRNA from 1 species
AUUGAACGCUGGCGGCAGGCCUAACACAUGCAAGUCGAGCGAGCGGCGGACGGGUGAGUAAUGUCUGGGAAACUGUCCGAUGGAGGGGGAUAACUACUGGAAACGGUAGCUAAUACCGCAUACCAUCGGAUGUGCCCAGAUAGGAUUAGCUUGUAGGUGAGGUAACGGCGCACCUAGGCGACGAUCCCUAGCUGGUCUGAGAGGAUGACCAGCCACACUGGAACUGAGACACGGUCCAGACUCCUACGGGAGGCAGCAGUGGGGAAUAUUGCACAAUGGGCGCAAGCCUGAUGCAGCCAUGCCGCGUGUAUGAAGAAGGCCUUCGGGUUGUAAAGUACUUUCAGCGGGGAGGCGUUACCCGCAGAAGAAGCACCGGCUAACUCCGUGCCAGCAGCCGCGGUAAUAC